AUUCUAUCCCUGUGCUCAAGUUCUUCAGGAGCACCUCACUGUCUCCCUCUGCCCACCCACCUGCACCUGACAGCUGUGGGCUGUGCUCUCAGGGAGGCACCGUCAGAUGCUACCAGACUACAGAGGAGAGCACCCUCAAUCCUGACUGAAGGUUUGGGAAAAGGCUGCUCAGAAGAGGUGAUACUUGAUAUGGGCCCUGGAGGAGGAGAAGCAGUUUGAGAAGACAGCAGUGAGAGAUGGCAUCCGGGCAGGCGAGAAAUGCAAAGGGAAGAGAGGUCAUCCAGGACAAAAGUACAGAAUGAAAAGAAAAAGCAACUAAGCACGAAAUCUUGGAGAAUGUCCUCAUUGAAGGGUGAGCAGAUGAAGAGGAGCCCACAAAAGAGACUGAGGAAUUGUCUUCAUUCACUCAUUCAUGCAUGUAUUCAUUUGGUCAACAAAUAUUUUUUGGCACCUCCCAUGGACAGGUCCUGAGCACCAAGGGUACAGUCAGAAAUGAUGAAUCCAGAAAUGAUGCCCUCCAGAACUUCUGGUGAGGAAGGCACUCAGGAAAAUGCAGCACCCUAUGGAGGCCCAGAAAGGAGGGCAUUCAGGAAGAACACAGUCUGAUGGUGUCAAGUGCAGCGGAGGCUAAGAGCCUCAGUGCCUCCUUCAGAGAUGCGGUGGAUAUUAGCUUCUGUUGUAUCCUUCAUACAGAACCUGGUGCUGAGAGACAGCUUCUUCUUUUUUUUUUUUUCUUUAAACUUUUCUUAAGACUAGUCAAGUACAGUAUCAAGAAGACGGGAAAGAGUAGAACAAGGAAUUGGAUCCGUAACUGACUGUGAACAAUCAAUUGAGGUAACUCAUUACCUUUGAACCAACCUGGGAGGCAGCCUUGUGACUCACCUCAAUCCUCAAUCUUCUCAGCUAGUUCACUUUGGCCUGGCUCAGGGGCUGACCUAGAAUGAUCCUGUCCAGAAGGACCCUGGAUGUUCUUAGAGACACAGACUGCUAGGGCUGGCAGGGACUUUUCAUCCAAUUCCUCUGUGACAGAGGAGGAAGUGGAGGUGCAGAAGGAGAGGUGAGCUGCCUGUGGUCCUUCAGCUUACUAAUGGCAGUGUUAGGACUGGACCUGAGGGCUCUUCCCUCCAGUCCGGCGCUAUUUAUUCCAUGACAGUGCCUCUCAAACUGUGUUCUCACAAGCAGCUAGUGCUCAGGCAGCUGGACUGAGGCCCUGCCUGCCAAAUCAAAUAUUGGAGGUCUUUCUCCAAUGUGCAGAAAAAAAAAGUAAUUAAUGGGUUAAGUUUCCUUAGGGUUAAAUUAUUUUUCCAUUAAUGCUUCUUAAACCAUUGUCACCUGCUACCAAUUGUCUACUAGCCAAUGCAUGCAGGCAACAAAACAAAAGGAUAAGCCACAAGUAAAUAAGAACAAGAACAACCAAAGCCUUGGAAACACACCAUCAUUCUUAAGUUAAAGGCUUAAAAAAAAAAUAGAGGAAGACUGCUAUGACUGUGGACUUUCUAUUGCAUUCACAUAAUAAAAUCAUGCGACAUUGUUUUGAAUUCAAAUGCUAAAAGUAAA
ensembl:lncRNA novel transcript